AUUGAACGCUGGCGGCAUGCCUUACACAUGCAAGUCGAACGGUAACAGGUUAAGCUGACGAGUGGUGAACGGGUGAGUAAUGUAUCGGAACGUGCCCAGUCGUGGGGGAUAACUGCUCGAAAGAGCAGCUAAUACCGCAUACGACCUGAGGGUGAAAGCGGGGGAUCGCAAGACCUCGCGCGAUUGGAGCGGCCGAUAACUGAUUAGGUAGUUGGUGAGGUAAAGGCUCACCAAGCCGACGAUCUGUAGCUGGUCUGAGAGGACGACCAGCCACACUGGGACUGAGACACGGCCCAGACUCCUACGGGAGGCAGCAGUGGGGAAUUUUGGACAAUGGGCGCAAGCCUGAUCCAGCCAUGCCGCGUGCGGGAAGAAGGCCUUCGGGUUGUAAACCGCUUUUGUCAGGGAAAAAAAGGUUCUGGCUAAUACCUGGGACUCAUGACGGUACCUGAAGAAUAAGCACCGGCUAACUACGUGCCAGCAGCCGCCGUAACAC
rnacentral:rRNA from 1 species